rnacentral:rRNA from 1 species
GACGAACGCUGGCGGCGUGCCUAAUACAUGCAAGUGAAGUUCAGUGGCGGACGGGUGAGUAACACGUGGGUAACCUACCCAUCAGAGGGGGAUAACACUUGGAAACGGGGUCUAAUACCGAAUAAAGGGGGAGGGGCUCGCGGCCUAUCAGCUUGUUGGUGGGGUGAUGGCCUAACAAGGCGGUGACGGGUAGCCGGCCUGAGAGGGGAACCGGCCACAUUGGGACGGGGAUACGGCCCAGGCGCUUACGGGAGGCAGCAGUGGGGGAUAUGGAACAAUGGGCGAAAGCCCGAUGCAGCGACGCCGCGUGGGGGAUGAAGGCUUUCGGGUUGUAAACGUCUUUCGCUAUCGAACGGGUAGGUGGAGAAGAAGCGCCGGCUAACUACGUGCCAGCAGCCGCGGUAAUUC